ACUGGUGCUGAUAAUUGCUCAUUUCUUUUUGUCUUUGUUUUUGGUUCGUUUGAUGCUACAUUUUUGCUCAAUCAGAGAUGGAUCAAAGAAUUGAAAGAUGUGAUACUGACGAUUGACUUAGAUGAUUCUCCACCGACAGAGAUUUGAUUCGGAGGUAAUCAUGAAUAGGUAAAAUAUCUUCUCGAUUGUUCAAAUUUUGGGGAUUUACUCCAUAUUUUUUUUCCUUUCAAAUUUUGGGCCUAUCUGUUUACAUCUUCUCUGUAAUUGUAUUUUGUGGUUUUCUUGAUUUCUCAAUAUGCGACAAUGCAGACAAUUUAUUAUUCAUUUAGUUGGAAUAUAAUGGUUGCAAAAUUAUGAUUUCACGGGUUUUGAAAGUAGUAGCCGAUCAAGGGAAGAAAAUGGCACUGCUUGUGUCGACUCUAAGAGGUAAUUUUUGCACUUUGUUUGUUCUAAUGUUAUAUGCUUAGUUAUAUUUCUAAAUUGUUGUGAAACCUAUAGUAGAUACGACUAAAUAACAAGAUGUGAUAGAAAUAAAAAAUAGCCCAUAACCUGAAAGACUGGUAAUGGAAGAACAAAAACAAUGAUCCACUGGAAAAGGCUAUGAACCAGAAAAGGUAAGCAAGAAAGUUAUACUCAAUCAAAUUUUUCCCAUUUUAUUCAAUCAGAUUACUCCGUGAAAGUUUAUUGGAGAAACAAAUUGGAAGAUUAAAGCUUUUCUCUUUAUUCGUGAAAGAGCCGCGAUGUUGAUGAAUGAGAUGGAGUUUUCUUGUGCCUAGAGAACUACUAAAGAAGCAGCAUAGCCAGUAACAACUUUCUGAUACAUUCAACCUUUAUUUGAAGAAAGUAGAGAGUUCAAAAAAAGUGUUAUUAGCAAAACAAUGACAACAAGCCUGUAAUGGACGGAGCAACUCAUAGUGCUUGUUUCUAUUUGGUGACCUGUCAGCUUGAGGAGCUAAAUAUGCGCGGAAAUAUCUAAUAAGAAAAAAAAUGUGGACUGUGACAACGAGAACAAGUCUAACAAUCAAGACAAGUCUCAUCAAAUAGGAGGAAGAGGUGAGAAGCACAAUUUUCAGGCAAAGCAGAUCAAACGGGAAUCUUAACAAGAAAAGGAAGGAUGAAGAAGAUGCAAGCAAUGAAAAUCCUGCAAUUGAAAAGAGAACUCAUGUUUUUUGGUCUAUAAAGUUUCACAGGGAUUCCUAAUGAAAGCUUCACAUAGAGCUUCAUAGGAAGCUUGUUGCAGCAGUUAAUUAUUUAUGCAUUGGAAGUGAUUUUCUUUAGCAUCACUGUGGUUAAUUUUGACCUGAUGAAUGUUGAAGUAGUUACAAGAGGGAAUGUGGCAAGCCAUCUCCAGGUAUCUUUAUAUAUAGUUUCAUAUGUUUCCUUUAAUCUGCUUUAUAUUUUUACAGAUGGGAUAUAUGUAUGCAAUCCAUGUACAUUGUUUAUGAAUUUUGAAUUUGGCUGGCUCUUGAACUAAGCAUGGAAAGAAUUAUAUAUCCUUUCUUUUAUUACUUUGCUCUCUAUAUUCAACUUUUAGACUUCGCCAUAAAAUCUGCCUUUUGUUGAUAUCUUUUCUUUGAGGAACUUCUAAGAUGUUGUGAAGUAGUAGCCGUCUGUUCUGCUUAAACGACAGGUUUGUACUGCGUAACUCUCUUUUGAAGCUUCUCAUUCUCAGGAAAAAAAAAACCUCUCUUUUGAAGCUUUUUGUGUAGUGCCACUAAAUUUUUCUUCAAGUUACACAAGUUUAUUUAAGACUGUGAAUUCGAAAGUUAAAGAAGGUAAGCAUGAAUCUAAAAACCGAGAGCACAAAAUCUUGUGAGAUUUAGGCAAAAAUCUCCUGAGUUUGCUGCCUAGAAAAUAGAACCUUCUGGUGGUAAGUGUGUGAUAGGGUGGUAAUUAUGUUUUGGUUUUUUUUGCUUCAUCCAUUGUUAUCCUCUUAACUGAUUAUUACAUUUUCGUUUGAUAUGUUUGUUUUUAACUGUUCUACUAUGAUCGGCUUCUAGAUGCAAAGAAGUGUUAACAGAGUAGCUUGCCCCUUGAAGCCUUUCCUUAACAUAUCCACGUAAUGUGCAUACGAAUCUCAUAUUCAUAUAAAUAUUUGUCCUUCUUUGGUCUUCUAAAGUUGAUUUGGAGAGGAACAUAAUAGAGUACAGUUAGAGCUAUAAAUGAUUAACAAAAAUUCAUGAAUGUUUAAAAAGAGGGAGGCCAAAUUUAAGUUUAAGCUUUUGCGGGAUUCAAUUGAAGAAGUCUUUUCCUUUUCUUCUUUAUUUUUUUUUAUAAAAAGGUAAUUUCUUAUACUUGCACACUUUCAUGAAGAAUCAGCAAUAUAUCUUACUAGAAAAAGUGAAGUGGCUUGAAAAAAACCACAUUUUCAGAGUUGUUUCCUAGAAUUGGUUGGUACACCAAUUCUCUUAACCACAGAAAUCUGCUU